AUUGAACGCUGGCGGCAGGCUUAACACAUGCAAGUCGAGCGGGGGAAGGUAGCUUGCUACCGGACCUAGCGGCGGACGGGUGAGUAAUGCUUAGGAAUCUGCCUAUUAGUGGGGGACAACAUCUCGAAAGGGAUGCUAAUACCGCAUACGUCCUACGGGAGAAAGCAGGGGAUCUUCGGACCUUGCGCUAAUAGAUGAGCCUAAGUCGGAUUAGCUAGUUGGUGGGGUAAAGGCCUACCAAGGCGACGAUCUGUAGCGGGUCUGAGAGGAUGAUCCGCCACACUGGGACUGAGACACGGCCCAGACUCCUACGGGAGGCAGCAGUGGGGAAUAUUGGACAAUGGGGGGAACCCUGAUCCAGCCAUGCCGCGUGUGUGAAGAAGGCCUUAUGGUUGUAAAGCACUUUAAGCGAGGAGGAGGCUACUUUAGUUAAUACCUAGAGAUAGUGGACGUUACUCGCAGAAUAAGCACCGGCUAACUCUGUGCCAGCAGCCGCGGUAAUACAGAGGGUGCGAGCGUUAAUCGGAUUUACUGGGCGUAAAGCGUGCGUAGGCGGCUUAUUAAGUCGGAUGUGAAAUCCCCGAGCUUAACUUGGGAAUUGCAUUCGAUACUGGUGAGCUAGAGUAUGGGAGAGGAUGGUAGAAUUCCAGGUGUAGCGGUGAAAUGCGUAGAGAUCUGGAGGAAUACCGAUGGCGAACGCAGCCAUCUGGCCUAAUACUGACGC
rnacentral:rRNA from 1 species